GUGAACCCUAAAUUUACUCUCUCCUUCUCUUCCAACCAAUUGCUUUCCCUCUUCCAAUCGAGUUAAGUUUGCGGAUCCCCCCUCUUUCAACCAAGUUUCAUUCGUGCCCCUUCGUCAUUCCACCGUCUUGAGCCCCCCACCCUUUCACCGUCACGAGCCCAAUCAAUAUCCCAUUGAGCUUCCAUUCGUCUUCCUCCGUCUUUCCAUCGAAGUUCCUUAGUCUUCACCCUCUUCCUACUGAGUUUCGUUUGCGGCUUCUGGUGAACGCUUUGAGGUUGUAUGUUUAUUUAGGUGAAAUUAGAGCUCAAGAGAUCAUUUGUUUUGAAUAAUCUUUCUGAAGUUCGACAAACAAGUGAGGCUAAAUCAAAGCUUCAGUAUGUUCACUAUCUCAUUAAUGUGACCAAAGGAGGUGAAAUUGUGUUCCCGGUUGCACAAGUUGGAACGUUGAAGCUGCAGGGGUUCUGAAAAAAGUAAUGUAUAUCACAACAUGUGAUUCCCUCGCCUCCUUUUUUCAGCCAAAUGAAACUAUAGUGAGUUUGGAUCUGUUCAUUGGAUUCUAUUCUGCAUGAAACUCCGAGAAAGACUUCAGAGAAGGUAUCAAUGAAAAUGAUAAAGAGGAAAAUGAUGCAAGUGACAAAUUUCAAAAGGAUGAUGCAAGUAAUGAGGAUGGUGUAGGUGAUGAACUUCUAGAGGAAGACAUAGGUGAUGAAGAGGAUAAUGGAGAUGACGACGAGUUCGCCAAACUUAAACGAGUUGGAUGAUGUUGUUUUAGCUUAUACUUAAGCAAUAAACUUAAAGAAACUAUGUAUUUUGUCAUUUGUUAGACGUAUACUUCUAAGUUAA